UUUUGGAGACAGAUUCGCAUUCGUCGCUUUUUCGUCUUGGAUUUGUUAAGGAUUCCAAGUAACUCUUAUUUGGAAAGAAGACGAUCUGCACUUCACAUUUUGGCAUUGACAUUUAAUUUUAGGGUCCUUUAUAUAGAAAGGAGAGUAGGUAAACUGAUUUUUUUUAACAGGGAGGGUCUGACGAUCUUUGGCAGACUUGGAGCAAAAGAUUGAGGUGCAUUGCAUGCCUCCUUUUGAGAGUCUUGCUCUGUUGCUCAGGCUGUAGUGCAGUGGUGCGAUCUUGGCUGCAACCUCAGCCUCCCAAGUAGCUGGGAUUACAAAUGUAAGCUACCACACCCAGCCCUCAUACCUCUUUUAAAAGUCACCCCGUUUUGCAGAAAGUCUGCUGUUUUGUACUGAAGGCUUUGGAAUUUGGCAUUUAGCUAGGAAUGCACGUUCUUUCACCUCAUUCACACUUUAAGAACCACAGAAGUGACUCUGCUUGGCCAGAAGGCACACAGUGUUGGUGGGUAUAUUAAAAGUCCUUGAGUAUUUUGCUUUUGUGUUUUUAUUUUUUUUGAGACGGAGCCUCGUUUGUCUCCCAGGCUGGAGUGCAGUGGCAUGAUCUCGCUCACUGCAACCUCUGCCUCCCAGGUUCAGGAGAUUCUCCUGCCUCAGCCUCCUAGUAGCUGGGACUUAUAGGCGUGUAGCACCACACCUGGCUGAUUUUUGUAUUUUUAGUAGAGAGGUUUCACCGUAUUGGUCAGGCUGGUCUCAACUCCUGACCUCGUGAUCUGCCCGCUUCGGCCUCCUAAAGUGCUGGGAUUACAGGCGUGAGCCACCCUUCCCGGCCACUUUUGAAUGAUCUCUAAUGUAUUUGUAAUUUACCUAACAUUGCCUAAUCUGCUAUGUUAAUGUAUUUAUGAAUUAAAAUAAAUGACUGUACAUGUUUGUGGUU
rnacentral:lncRNA from 1 species